CCUACGUGGGGCAGCAGUGAGGAAUAUUGGUCAAUGGGCGCGAGCCUGAACCAGCCAAGUAGCGUGAAGGAUGACUGCCCUACGGGUUGUAAACUUCUUUUAUCAAGGAAUAAAGUGAGGCACGUGUGCCUUUUUGUAUUUACUUUAUGAAUAAGGAUCGGCUAACUCCGUGCCAGCAGCCGAGGUAAUACGGAGGAUCCGAGCGUUAUCCGGAUUUAUUGGGUUUAAAGGGAGCGUAGAUGGGUUGUUAAGUCAGUUGUGAAAGUUUGCGGCUCAACCGUAAAAUUGCAAUUGAUACUGGCAGUCUUGAGUACAGUUGAGGUAGGCGGAAUUCGUGGUGUAGCGGUGAAAUGCUUAGAUAUCACGAAGAACUCCGAUUGCGAAGGCAGCUUACUAAACUGCCACUGACAUUGAUGCUCGAAAGUGUGGGUAUCAAACAGGAUUAGAUACCCUUGUAGUC
rnacentral:rRNA from 1 species